CCCUUGUCAUCUCCUUCGAGGCAUCGUGUUCUUCCUGGACUCGGGAGCCCGAUCCAACCCGCCCUUGAUUCGCUCGAUCCCUGACUCCUUCUCGUAACCGAGUACACCGAGAGACUCCCCUUGAUCUCCUUUGCUGAUUCCCUGCAUCGCCUCGCGGAACCGAGCUCGAAGUCGACCGCAUGGACCUACCGAGCUCCGCUGCCUGAAGCCGCUCCGACGAUCGAUUCGUCACCACAGGAGGGGCACACCGGACCGAUCACCCGCCGCCGAGACGAAGCUCCUGGGCAGCCGCCGUGCACGUCUUCACCGUCGCCAGCGGAGGACACACCCGCCGCCGUUCCAGCCACCAUCGCCACCGCAUCGCACGCCGCAUCCGUCCGCUCCUUCGCCCUCGCCGGAGAAGCUCCGCCGCCCACGCCCGAGGCCGCCGCUGCCUUCCUCUGUUUCCGAUUGCUCGGAGCAUGACGAGUAGAAUUAUCAUGAAUUGUGAGUGCGACGACCUUCAUCAAAUAUACCAGGCAAGUUACACCUUGAUCAUUCUUCAUCCUAUUAUUUUUCCUAUGCAUGUAGUUAUAUAUAUCACUAUAUUAUGCAUGUGUAGGAAGAUCAUGGUAGUACGUUACUGCUACUGAGAUUCAGCUUAAUAUGACCUUAUUGUAGAUCGUGGUAGUUGUACUCUUGCUAUGCUAUGUAGACGGGGAUUUGUUCAUGUAUUCAUCGAGAUUAUGUGAGGACUAUAUAUAAUAUAACUUGAGUAAAAACUUAAUAUAUAACUCACCUCUGGGCAGUGGUAUUGCUUGGUGUUGAGGGAAGGCAUCAUGGGGUCUUGCACCUUUUCUAAGGCUAUGCGCCCAUGAGAGUGCACCCUAAGUGGAAUGCCGCCCGGGUUCAAAAAGAUUAGAC